rnacentral:rRNA from 1 species
GCAUAUCAAUAAGCGGAGGAAAAGAAACUAACAAGGAUUCCCCUAGUAACUGCGAGUGAAGCGGGAAAAGCUCAAAUUUAAAAUCUGGCAGUCUUUGAUUGUCCGAGUUGUAAUCUAGAGAAGCAUUAUCCGCGCUGGACCGUGUACAAGUCUCCUGGAAUGGAGCGUCAUAGAGGGUGAGAAUCCCGUCUUUGACACGGACUGCCAGGGCUUUGUGAUGUGCUCUCAAAGAGUCGAGUUGUUUGGGAAUGCAGCUCAAAAUGGGUGGUAAAUUCCAUCUAAAGCUAAAUAUUGGCGAGAGACCGAUAGCGAACAAGUACCGUGAGGGAAAGAUGAAAAGAACUUUGGAAAGAGAGUUAAACAGUACGUGAAAUUGCUGAAAGGGAAACGCUUGAAGUCAGUCGCGUUGUCCGGGAAUCAACCUUGCUUUUGCUGGGCGUACUUCCUGGUUAACGGGUCAGCAUCAAUUUUGACCGUUGGAUAAAGUUGUUGGGAAUGUGGCUUCUUCGGAAGUGUUAUAGCCCAGUUUCGCAUACAACGGUUGGGAUUGAGGAACUCAGCACGCCGAAAGGCCGGGUUUUUAACCACGUUCGUGCUUAGGAUGCUGGCAUAAUGGCUUUAAUCGACCCGUCUUGAAACACGGACCAAGGAGUCUAACAUGCCUGCGAGUGUUUGGGUGGAAAACCCGAGCGCGUAAUGAAAGUGAAAGUUGAGAUCCCUGUCGUGGGGAGCAUCGACGCCCGGACUUGAACUUCUGUGACGGAUCCGCGGUAGAGCAUGUAUGUUGGGACCCGAAAGAUGGUGAACUAUGCCUGAAUAGGGUGAAGCCAGAGGAAACUCUGGUGGAGGCUCGUAGCGAUUCUGACGUGCAAAUCGAUCGUCAAAUUUGGGUAUAGGGGGCGAAAGACUAAUCGAACCAUCUAGUAGCUGGUUCCUGCCGAA